UACGGAGGGUGCAAGCGUUAUCCGGAUUCACUGGGUUUAAAGGGUGCGUAGGAGGGCAGGUAAGUCAGUGGUGAAAUCUCCAAGCUUAACUUGGAACUGCCGUUGAUACUAUCUGUCUUGAAUACCGUGGAGGUGAGCGGAAUAUGUCAUGUAGCGGUGAAAUGCUUAGAUAUGACAUAGAACACCAAUUGCGAAGGCAGCUCGCUACACGAAUAUUGACUCUGAGGCACGAAAAGCGUGGGGAUCAAACAGGG
rnacentral:rRNA from 1 species